AUACUUACGGGGUCUAUGGUUGAUCAUGAAGGCCCAUGGUCUAAGGCAGUAACUUCCAUUGCACAUUGGAGGGGUAUUGCUUGGUCUGUCAAAAAUGGCAGAGCAUACGUCAUAAUUUGUGGUAGUGGGGCUUGCGUUCGCGCAACUCCUUU
rnacentral:snRNA from 1 species